rnacentral:lncRNA from 1 species
GCGCGGCCCGCCGCCCUCACCUGAGCCCCGGCCAGCUGAGCCCGCUACCCGCUCUCCCGCCGCGAUCCGGCCCAGCCGCCAGGAAAGGAUUAAAGAGUACAGGACUGACUGGCCUGGAGAUAAGAGACCAAGUUGUAUUCCUAGAUUUACCAUUAUUGUUAAUCUGGGCCUCCAUUGUAAGAGCCCAGUGAUCUUAAGCGAACCUCACCCUCACCUCUACACAAUGUGAAGAAACCUUACAAACAGCUAUGAAAUGAAGUUCUUGGCUGGUCUUCACAGCUUCAGCAUGGCCUUGAAAUCUUCGUGUGUACCAAGACAGGUCUGGUACUUCCUCAAGAGCUGAAAAUAAUUAUAGGAGAAAAGGGAAGCCUUGGAGCCAGCUCCAUCAGAAGAUUCCCUAUGAAACAAGGUAAUGGAGUUUCCCUGAACAUGAAGAUCGGUUCAGAAUGCUCAUAAGGAUCAUGAACAACACCAGAUGAUCUCUAAAGUAAACCAUCAAAGUCUCUCCCAAGCUCUUGGACUAGGAAUGUUCUAUCCAUGACUCUACUAUAAAUCUCUUUGGUCUUCGUGGACAGAAAUAGACCAGUGAAGCCAAACUACUCCAAACUCACGUAACUGAAAUUCCAAAAAAGCAAAUCUGUGACCCUAAGGCUUUGUCUGGACAGAGGGAGAAGACAUCUAUCUACAGCUUCAUUUAUGCUUACUGAGAAAAUCAACUGGAGAGGAAGCCCUGCCUAAGACUUUAAUAUGAAUCAAAACCACACACACACAUGCACAUGCACACACACACACACACACACACACACAUGCACACACACUUGCAUCUUCUGCUGGACCUUUACAUACUCAAAGGGCUAUCAGCCUCUAUUAUUUAAAGAAGUGCUGUCAUAGUCUCUAUUUGACUUCUGCGGAGAUAGGUCUCUGGGCAUGGUCUAGAUAAUCAGAAGAAUAUGAGAAGAAAGGCCAGAAAUAAUACUGCAUAAAUAUAAAAGGCUAUUUACUGUGGAAAAGAGAAAUUCUUUGCUAGACAUAUUUGCCUUAGAGAAAUGUCUCUGUCCUUUAUUAUGUGUUUAGACUGUCCAAUCCUUGAGAAUAACUGUUUGACCUUGGGAGAUCUUGUGUGAAUGUGUUUUAUUCAAAAGGUACUCAGAGAAGACCAAAAGAAAUCAGGAAGAAUAAAAAAGGCCAUGAUUACUUCCUACUGGCUGAGAAACCUCAACACAGGCAGCAUUUCUCAUGCCGACCACCAUCCUAUAUUGUGCUAUAGAUAUUCACCACUGUUCCCAUCACUUCUACUACAACUCAGACUCUAGAAUAUGUAAUCCUGUGUGGAUCCUUGUGUCUAAGAGUGUUGAUAUGGUUUUGCUGUGUCUCCACCCAAAUCUCAUCUUGAAUGGUAACUCCCACAAUUCCCAUGUGUCAUGGGAGGAACCUGGUGGGAGGUAAUUGAAUCAUGGGAGUGGGUCUUUCUUGUGCUGUUCCCGUGAUAGUAAGUCUCACAAGAUAUGAUGGUUUUAAAAACGGGAGUUUCCUGCACAAGCUCUCUUCUCUUGUCUGAUGCCAUGUGAGACACAUCUUUCACCUUCCACCAUGAUUGUGAGGCCUCCCCAGCCACGUGGC